GGUUAAGCGACUAAGCGUACACGGUGGAUGCCCUGGCAGUCAGAGGCGAUGAAGGACGUGCUAAUCUGCGAUAAGCGUCGGUAAGGUGAUAUGAACCGUUAUAACCGGCGAUUUCCGAAUGGGGAAACCCAGUGUGAUUCGUCACACUAUCAUUAACUGAAUCCAUAGGUUAAUGAGGCGAACCGGGGGAACUGAAACAUCUAAGUACCCCGAGGAAAAGAAAUCAACCGAGAUUCCCCCAGUAGCGGCGAGCGAACGGGGAGCAGCCCAGAGCCUGAAUCAGUGUGUGUGUUAGUGGAAGCGUCUGGAAAGGCGUGCGAUACAGGGUGACAGCCCCGUACACAAAAAUGCACAUACUGUGAGCUCGAUGAGUAGGGCGGGACACGUGGUAUCCUGUCUGAAUAUGGGGGGACCAUCCUCCAAGGCUAAAUACUCCUGACUGACCGAUAGUGAACCAGUACCGUGAGGGAAAGGCGAAAAGAACCCCGGCGAGGGGAGUGAAAAAGAACCUGAAACCGUGUACGUACAAGCAGUGGGAGCACAGAGCAAUCUGUGUGACUGCGUACCUUUUGUAUAAUGGGUCAGCGACUUAUAUUCUGUAGCAAGGUUAACCGAAUAGGGGAGCCGAAGGGAAACCGAGUCUUAACUGGGCGUUAAGUUGCAGGGUAUAGACCCGAAACCCGGUGAUCUAGCCAUGGGCAGGUUGAAGGUUGGGUAACACUAACUGGAGGACCGAACCGACUAAUGUUGAAAAAUUAGCGGAUGACUUGUGGCUGGGGGUGAAAGGCCAAUCAAACCGGGAGAUAGCUGGUUCUCCCCGAAAGCUAUUUAGGUAGCGCCUCGUGAAUUCAUCUCCGGGGGUAGAGCACUGUUUCGGCAAGGGGGUCAUCCCGACUUACCAACCCGAUGCAAACUGCGAAUACCGGAGAAUGUUAUCACGGGAGACACACGGCGGGUGCUAACGUCCGUCGUGAAGAGGGAAACAACCCAGACCGCCAGCUAAGGUCCCAAAGUCAUGGUUAAGUGGGAAACGAUGUGGGAAGGCCCAGACAGCCAGGAUGUUGGCUUAGAAGCAGCCAUCAUUUAAAGAAAGCGUAAUAGCUCACUGGUCGAGUCGGCCUGCGCGGAAGAUGUAACGGGGCUAAACCAUGCACCGAAGCUGCGGCAGCGACGCUUAUGCGUUGUUGGGUAGGGGAGCGUUCUGUAAGCCUGCGAAGGUGUGCUGUGAGGCAUGCUGGAGGUAUCAGAAGUGCGAAUGCUGACAUAAGUAACGAUAAAGCGGGUGAAAAGCCCGCUCGCCGGAAGACCAAGGGUUCCUGUCCAACGUUAAUCGGGGCAGGGUGAGUCGACCCCUAAGGCGAGGCCGAAAGGCGUAGUCGAUGGGAAACAGGUUAAUAUUCCUGUACUUGGUGUUACUGCGAAGGGGGGACGGAGAAGGCUAUGUUGGCCGGGCGACGGUUGUCCCGGUUUAAGCGUGUAGGCUGGUUUUCCAGGCAAAUCCGGAAAAUCAAGGCUGAGGCGUGAUGACGAGGCACUACGGUGCUGAAGCAACAAAUGCCCUGCUUCCAGGAAAAGCCUCUAAGCAUCAGGUAACAUCAAAUCGUACCCCAAACCGACACAGGUGGUCAGGUAGAGAAUACCAAGGCGCUUGAGAGAACUCGGGUGAAGGAACUAGGCAAAAUGGUGCCGUAACUUCGGGAGAAGGCACGCUGAUAUGUAGGUGAAGUCCCUCGCGGAUGGAGCUGAAAUCAGUCGAAGAUACCAGCUGGCUGCAACUGUUUAUUAAAAACACAGCACUGUGCAAACACGAAAGUGGACGUAUACGGUGUGACGCCUGCCCGGUGCCGGAAGGUUAAUUGAUGGGGUCAGCGCAAGCGAAGCUCUUGAUCGAAGCCCCGGUAAACGGCGGCCGUAACUAUAACGGUCCUAAGGUAGCGAAAUUCCUUGUCGGGUAAGUUCCGACCUGCACGAAUGGCGUAAUGAUGGCCAGGCUGUCUCCACCCGAGACUCAGUGAAAUUGAACUCGCUGUGAAGAUGCAGUGUACCCGCGGCAAGACGGAAAGACCCCGUGAACCUUUACUAUAGCUUGACACUGAACAUUGAGCCUUGAUGUGUAGGAUAGGUGGGAGGCUUGGAAGUGUGGACGCCAGUCUGCAUGGAGCCGACCUUGAAAUACCACCCUUUAAUGUUUGAUGUUCUAACGUUGACCCGUAAUCCGGGUUGCGGACAGUGUCUGGUGGGUAGUUUGACUGGGGCGGUCUCCUCCUAAAGAGUAACGGAGGAGCACGAAGGUUGGCUAAUCCUGGUCGGACAUCAGGAGGUUAGUGCAAUGGCAUAAGCCAGCUUGACUGCGAGCGUGACGGCGCGAGCAGGUGCGAAAGCAGGUCAUAGUGAUCCGGUGGUUCUGAAUGGAAGGGCCAUCGCUCAACGGAUAAAAGGUACUCCGGGGAUAACAGGCUGAUACCGCCCAAGAGUUCAUAUCGACGGCGGUGUUUGGCACCUCGAUGUCGGCUCAUCACAUCCUGGGGCUGAAGUAGGUCCCAAGGGUAUGGCUGUUCGCCAUUUAAAGUGGUACGCGAGCUGGGUUUAGAACGUCGUGAGACAGUUCGGUCCCUAUCUGCCGUGGGCGCUGGAGAACUGAGGGGGGCUGCUCCUAGUACGAGAGGACCGGAGUGGACGCAUCACUGGUGUUCGGGUUGUCAUGCCAAUGGCACUGCCCGGUAGCUAAAUGCGGAAGAGAUAAGUGCUGAAAGCAUCUAAGCACGAAACUUGCCCCGAGAUGAGUUCUCCCUGACUCCUUGAGAGUCCUGAAGGAACGUUGAAGACGACGACGUUGAUAGGCCGGGUGUGUAAGCGCAGCGAUGCGUUGAGCUAACCGGUACUAAUGAACCGUGAGGCUUAACCUU
rnacentral:rRNA from 1 species